rnacentral:rRNA from 1 species
UACGUAGGGGGCAAGCGUUGUCCGGAUUUAUUGGGCGUAAAGAGCGUGUAGGCGGCCAAACAGGUCAGCUGUGAAAACUCGAGGCUCAACCUCGAGACGUCGGUUGAAACCGUAUGGCUAGAGUCCGGAAGAGGAGAGUGGAAUUCCCGGUGUAGCGGUGAAAUGCGCAGAUAUCGGGAAGAACACCCGUGGCGAAGGCGACUACCUGGCCUGUUCUUGACGCUGAGGCGCGAAAGCUAGGGGAGCAAACGGG